rnacentral:lncRNA from 1 species
AUUGGCUCUAAAUUUAGGAAUCAUUAUUUUCAAGGUAAUUAAUAAUGGUGCAAGAAGAAUUCUUCUCUUUAAAAAGCAUUUACAGAUUUGCAUUAAAUUGCAAGAUCCUCUACCGUCUGCAAGGUCAGAUAUUUUACAAGAUAUUUAAAGAGCUCAAAAACUGACUACAUGUACAUCAUGUUUCUUGCCCCUCUAACCUUGCCGUCCUUCAUUUUGUCCUGCUCCAGCCGUAUGGGUCACUGAAAUGUGGUCAAGUGAUUUACCCACUUUCCUAUAAAUGAUCAGCAGGUAGAAUGGGAAGAAAACCCAGACCCCAUGUGAAACUAAGUUGAAGCAGUGGUAUGCUGGGAGAACUGGGUAUCUACAUGCUGAAGAAUGAAAUUGGACUCUUAUCUGAUACUACAUGCAAAAACCAACUCAAGAUGAACAAAAAACCUAAACUUAAGACCUAAACUGUAAAACUACUAGAAGAAAACAUAGGAGAAAGCUUCAUGACAUUGGUUUGAGCAACGAUAUUUUUAUAUGACCCCCAAUCAUAGGCAACAAAAGUGAAAUUAGACAAAUGGAAUGACACAAAACUAAAAACCUUUUGCAUUGCCAAGAAGACAAUCAACCAAGUGAGGAGACAGCCUAUGAAAUGAGAAAGAAAAUAUUUGCAAACCAUACAUCUGAUAAAGUGUUAAUAUCCAAAAUACAUGAGGAACUCAAACAACUCAACAGCAAGAAAACAACCUGAUUAAAAAAAGGGCAAGGAUCUAAGCAGACAUUUCUCAAAAGAAGACAUACAAACAGCCUACAGGUAUAUAAUAACAUGCUCAACAUCACUUAUCAUCAGGGAAAUGAAAAUUAAAACUACAAUGAGAUAUCACAUCACAGCUGUUAGAAUGGAUAUUGUCAAAAAGAUUAAAGAUAAGUUCUGACAAGGAUGUGAAGAAAAGGCAACCCUUGCACUCUGUUGGUGGGAAUGUCAGUUAGUACAACCAUCUCGUGGAAAACAGUGUGGAGGUUCCUCCAAAAGUUAAAAAUAGAAAUACCAUAUGAUCCAGCAAUCCUACAACUGAAUAUACACCCAAAGGCAAUGAAGUCAGUAUGUUGAAAAGAUAUCUGUGCUCCCAUGUGUAUUGCAACACUAUUCACAAUAGCUAAGAUAUGGAAUCAACUGAUGUGUCCAUCAAUGAUGAAUAAAGAAAAUGUUGUAUUACAGACACAGUGGAAUACCACUCAGCCUUAUAGAAAGAGAAAAAUCUUAUUAUUUGCAAUGACAUGGAUGAACCUUAAGGACAUUAUGUUUAAGUAAAAUAAGCCAGGCACAGAAAGAUAAAUACUAUAUGACCUCACUUACAUGUGGAAUCUAAAAAAGCUAAAGUUAUCGAAGUAGAGAGAUAGUCAAAGGAUAAAAAAUUUCAUUUAGAUAGGAGCAAUAAGUUUAAGAGUUCUAUUGUACAAUGUGGUAACUAUCGUUAAUAAAAAUGUGUUCUUUAAAAUUGCUGAGAGUAGGCCAGGCACACUGGCUUACGCCUGUAAUUCCAGCACUUUGGGAGGCUGAGGUGGGUGGAUCACCUGAGGUCAGGAGUUCAAGACCAGCCUGGCCAACAUAGUGAAACUCCAUCUCUAUGAAAAUACAAAAAUUAGAUGGAUAUGGUGAUGGGUGCCAGUAAUCCCAGCUACUCAGGAGGCUGAAGCAGGAGAAUCACUUGAACCCAGGGGGUGGAGGUUGCAGUGAGCCAAGAUCGCGCCACUGCACUCUAGCCUGGGUGACAAAAAAAAAAAAAAAAAAAAAAAAAAUUGCUGAGAGUAGAUUUUAAGCGUUCUCACCACAAGAAAUGAUAAGUGUGUGAGGUAAUGCAUAUGUUAAUUAACUAUAGCCAUUCUAGAAUGUAUACUUAUUUCAAGAUAUAAUGUCUUAUGCAAUAAAUAUAUAUAAUUUUUAUUUGUAGUUCAAAAAAUAAUUAAUAAAUUAAAAAUUAUAGCAAUAAGCCCAUUAUAUGUUGAUAUAAAUAACAUAUUUUCAUAAAAAAGAAUUCUGUUUUUCAAAAUAAGAAAAAUUUAUGAAGAGGGUAUUGUUUUACAUUUUUGAAAAUCUCUUCAACAGAAGGCAGCUAGAUCUUCAUAUGUGCCUCUAUGUUCAAACUGUUACAUAUUAUUUUGGUUGAAGUAUGUGAAAAAAAUUUGGCCUCACUCAAACAUGUAGUUGGAAAAGGUAAUGGUAUUUUAUGAACCUUUUCAGAUAAUUGUGAAUCUUCUUCUUUGGCACUAUACCUAAAUUUGGCCAAUGGUAAUUUCUUAAAGAUUAGUUGCAAUAUGGAAUCUGAAACCGUAUCAAUGACCUUUCCGUCCUCUGUUACAUUAAAAUUAUUGCUCUUUCUUGCCCUUUGUGUGGAAAUUUUAUUCAUGUAUUAUUUUGUAAAAUCAUGAAUGUGUCAUUUGGAUGUUCACUGACUUAUGCAGAUAUCACAAAUACUGAUACAUUUUCUUAUAAGACACCGAAAGUUUGCAUUCAUUAAUAUCACCACUGAUCUCAUCAGAAAAGCCUUUACAUUUUGGGAAGUUUUUCAAAAUUCCAAGUUUUGCUUGAAAGAUUGAAUUUUAUCAUUGACAAUAAAAAAUAACAAAUAAUGUUAGUUUUCCCUAAAGUGAUAGACUCACUUCAUCCAUUUUGAUGAAUUGUUGGUCAGAUAGUCAAGUCUGAAUAGAUAUGGUUUUUCUGUUAGUAUUUGUUUCAAAUAAAAAUGGUGUUCUUUGGAAACAAUGGUUAGUUCAGCUCAGAAUUCAAACAAUGGCACAAGGGCUUUUGAGAGACACACUUCAUGCUUCAAUAUGCAGCUGAGGUGUUUCAGGUAUAUUUCCCCUUUCAUCACAUAGAAUGUUAAAAAGAUGUUUAUCUAGAGUUGAGAUUUAGGCUGGGUGUGGUGGCUCAUGCCUGUAAUCCCA